CACCAGGGGCAGCAGAGGGUCAGGGGUGGGAAGGCUGUCUGUGGAGAACUACAGCAGUUUGAAAACCAAGGUGAACUAGGGCAAGGUCAUGAGUUUGAUCCCCCGUUCGAGGUGCGGGGGAGAAGGUGGAAGUUACUUCUACCAGGAGGUCGCAGAGCUUAGCACACAGUACCUGGGCGAGUUUGAGAGGGCGAAGGUGGAAGGAGCAGGAACCGCGGAGAAAACUGAGGCGCAGCUGGAUUUCCUUGUGCCAGGUUUGGUAUUUGGCUGUCUCUGCUCUCAGUAAGUACUGAGCAAAUCAUCAUUAAUUCAUCCAGCGGGAACUUUGGCCUUUGGCUUUCUCUGUUUUACCCUUGAUGACAAAUUAUUUGAGGAAGAGUGUACAUCCUCUGAGACUUGCUGGGAGAGUUUGGAGAAAUUUCUCAAAAGCUGGCUAUGAAACUGCUAUAGUGAGCAAGUGAUCUGCUGUGGCUAAGGUAAGAAUGAUAGUUAACACCUUAGCGCACGCACUAGGUGAUGGCCACUGUACUGAGUACUUUAUGUAUGUUAACUCUUUAGACCUUACAACCACACUGUGAAGUACUAGCAUUAGCCCAUUUUAUAGAAGAGGAAACAGAAGCAUUGAGAGACGGAGGAACUUGCCUUACGUUUCUCACAACUGGUAACUGGCAGAAUCAGGAUUUAAUCCCAGCCUGUGGAAUUUAUGCUUUCAUCAGCACUAAGUUGUUCUGUACCAUAAAUGAAUUGAUCUAAUAUGUAAAAACUUUCAAAGGGCAAAAGAGAAGGGAAAAGGUUAUUUUUGUGGGUACCAGGAAUUGAACUCAGGACCUUGCUAUUGAGCUAUAUCUCUGGCCCCAGAAGACAAUUUUUGGUUUGCAUGGGUGGUUGGAGACAAUUCAGAAGUUAAAAGAGAAUGCUGAUUAUCUGCUUUACUGUUUUGAGCCCCUUCAUAGCAGGAAGAAUGCGGGUGAGAGUCUGCAGGAGGUGAUUUGGUUAUAGGAAUGACAUAUGACCUCCAAAUGAUAUAAGGGAAAGAUUUUAACUCCCAACCUGUUAGAUGUCCAAUAUGCCAAGUUUAUAUUCCCCAAAGUCGAAGAAUGAAUUCUGAGUCAAAAACAUUAACAGCAGGGAAUAUUUAUUGAGGUUAAUGACAACUCCUGCCUAAGAAAUAAGAGGGGACCUGCAAAGGUCAUGGAAGGGAUGAGUCAAGAAGGUCUUGGUCCCCCACCCAGGUGAUGGAUGCUAUUUAAAUAUCUAUCAUUAUUGUGUACCCCUCAGAGAAAUAAUGGACGUGUAGUCAUUCCAUCUUUGUCUUGAAGCCUGGCCUUCAACAAACGCACCUCUAUCCACAGCUGUAAUAUCUUAUCUUUUGCACUGGCUUCUGCCAGCACCUAGCCCUGUCUGACUGCCUAUAACAUUUCUACCUAACCUAGCUUUCUAUAAUAAUUUGGAAAAGACUGUAAAGAUCCAGGCUCUUGAAGGCCGUCCCGGGACACAGCAUCCUCUGCAGUGCACUGUGGUGAACGGCAGUGUUGUUGAGAUCGAUGGGGUGCCACAGGCAGCUGGACAGGGGCCAAGAAGCUGGAGUAAAAUACUGGAGGCCCUGUGCCUGAGUGCACUCGAGGUACAACUGCAGAGGCAGUCCAGAAAGAAUGAGGGAGACUUCAAAGAGCUAGCAGCCACUCUGGACAGACUGGCUGUGACUGAAGUGCUUUCACUGUGAUCCCAUCUGCACGCAUCGAUAGUGGGAACCACUACGUCUGAGUUUUAUACACAGUGGAAUUAUUGCACAGCUGUUAUACAAGAGUAAUGCAGUUCUGUAUUCAUUAACAUGGGACAGAAAUAGAUCACAAACCAAACAGGGCAGGACUCCCCGGUGCUAGUUAGGGUCCCAGGCUCUAAAUGCCAAGGACAAGCUAGUCAGGUGGUCUGCUGUGUUGGAAGUCACUGAUGGAUUUAAGACAUGCUAUCUAAAACCCACAGAAAUAGAAAACAGGGUCUUUGCACUACUGAAGUUGAUUCCUCAACACUGAAAAGAAUCUUUAAUUUCACUAGUAAGAACUAAAAAGAGAAUGUGUCAUAUACCAGCAGCUAGCUGUUGACACUUGGAGCAGUUGUACUUUGCAAGCUUUUCUUCCCCCAUCUUGUCUGCAGUGUGAUUCAGGCCAAGACUGGGAAAUUUUUCUUCUUUUUAAAAGUAACAGCCUUGGGGCUGGAGAUUUAGCUCAGCGGCAUAAGCCCCUGCCUUACAAGCAGGCGUUUGUGAGUUCCAUCCCUGGUACCGAUAAAAAAAUAAAUAAAUAAAUAACAGCCUCUCUUCUGGCUUUGGGACAUUGUGAAGUUGCAGUGUUUGGGACUGCUGUGGCCAUUCUGCAUCCAUUCAAAGCAAGAGCCAAGGGCCUAUGAAGGCGAAGAGUAAAAAAAAAAAAAAAAUCCAAGUCCUUGAUGAUGCCCUCGAACUGCUGAAAUAGCAGGUCCUAAAAUCCUGACCCUCUUGUUUUGAUUGAGAUAUAUUGUUAUAUUUCAGUAUUUCUCAAUGCAGGAUGUGUCUUAUGAGCAAUGCCAUCUUAGUUUCUGUGAAUAUACAAAAAGGUUAGAUUUAAAAAAUUAAUCUCUGUAUUGUUUAAGUCAAUUUAAUUGGGCAGUCCAUUAGAGUCAGAAUCAUCCAAAAUGGUAUUUUUACUUCCCACAUUUUGUGGGAGAGAUAAGAAUAAUACCCUGAAAUAAUGAAUUAUGGCAAAACACAGAAAAUGGUUUGCCUACAGGUUACAGUACUAUUCUACUUUGGAUGUUGAAUGUCCCCUAGAGGUCUGUAUGUUAAAAGGUUGGCCCCUAGGGUAGCCCCGUUGGGAGGUGAUAGAACCUGUAGGGGGUGAAGCUGAGUGAGAUGUCCUUAGUUGAUGAGGGUGUGCCCUAAAAAGGGAUUUGGGGACCCCCGUCUCUUCUUCCCUGUCUACCUCCUGGCUUAGGAGCUAAGCAGUUUGUGCCAUCUCCAUCCACCAUGAUGUAUGGCCUUCCUAGAGGCCCAAAGCAAAGGCCCAAAGUGCCUCCAGACUUGGACUGGACCCUCUAAACUGUGAGCAAAAAUAAAAUAAAGUAAAAUAAGUGAA